rnacentral:tRNA from 1 species
GGGCACGUAGCUCAGCGGAUAGAGCGUUCGCCUCCGGAGCGAAAGGUCGUGGGUUCGAUCCCCGCCGUGCCCA